rnacentral:tRNA from 1 species
GGCCCCAUCGUCUAGAGGCCUAGGACGGCAGGUUCUCAUCCUGCAAACCUGGAUUCGAAUUCCAGUGGGGUCACCA